GAAGCACAAAAGACUGUUUGAAAAGGCAAACUGAGUUGAGACCUAAAGGUGUACCACAAUCACAUCCAAAGUACAUCAGUCUUGAAUGUUGUGAAGGCUCUGUAGUACAUGUGGCAGUGUAAGGGGUGUUGCAUACAAGUACCAACCAGAUAAAGAAGAAUGAACCAGCCCUUUGUGCUAAAAGUCAUCCUGCUGGACAAUACCGCCCAAAGGCUGACUCUGCCUAAUGGAUUACCAGACACAGUUGAAGAACUUAUGGAAGAAGUCAUACGCCAAUGUGGACUUGCAUCGAAUAUCAGACUUCAAUUCAUGGACCCACUGUUUGGAAAUGAGUACAUGAAUCUUACAAACAUCAACGAACUCCAGGACAGAGGGACUAUUAGAGUGAUGAGUGAUGUGUCAGAAGAAUCAGACUCGGUGACCUUAGUACUUUCAGAUGUAUCAUCCAUAUCUUCAUUGCCUGUGACAGAAUCAUCGUCCUUAGCAUCCCUUCCUCUGUCAGAGUCAUCAUCACAACUUUCAUUUCCUCUGUCACAAUCAUCUCCAUUAGUUUCAAUACCUAUU
ensembl:lncRNA